GGGAACAUAACUCAGUGGCAGAGUAGCGGCCUGUUAAGCCGCGUGCCGGAUGUUCGAUCCAUCCUGUUCCCG
rnacentral:tRNA from 1 species